rnacentral:rRNA from 1 species
UACGAAGGGGGCUAGCGUUGAUCGGAAUCACUGGGCGUAAAGGGCGCGUAGGCGGCGCGGGUAGUCAUCGGUGAAAGUUCAGGGCUCAACUCUGAAUCGGCCGGUGAUACUCCCGUGCUCGAGCACUGUAGAGGCAGGUGGAAUUCCGGGUGUAGCGGUGGAAUGCGUGGAGAUCCGGAAGAACACCGGUGGCGAAGGCGGCCUGCUGGGCAGUAGCUGACGCUGAUGCGCGACAGCGUGGGGAGCAAACAGG